rnacentral:lncRNA from 1 species
CCUGAACACACGAUGUCACAAAGAAUUAGCAACUUGGAAGCCCUGUGAAACUCAUGAAUACUAAAGAAGAUGUUACUGCCACUUUAUCAAGCCACUCCUGUGGCAGUAGACUCUAUAAGAUUAAGUAAAAGAACCUGGAGUUUGUUACUGAAGAUCCCUAUCUUUUAUUGCAACACCCAGAGAUGACUGAAUUGGAAUGUGGCUCUCUUUGCUGUGGCUAAGAAAGUUGAUAAACAUGGAAAUAGAACACACAGAGAGAAAGGUUUCUGAAAACCAGACUUAUUGGGACAUCAUUCACAAAUAAUAAAAUCUACUUUCUUAAAG